CUAAGUGGCGCACGGGUGAGUAAUGUAUAGAUAACCUGCCCUUAAGAAAGGAAUAACAGUUGGAAACGACUGCUAAUGCCCUAUAUGCCUUUAAUACAUAAGUAUGCAAGGGAAACGCUUUAGUGCUUAAGGAUGGGUCUGUAUGGUAUCAGCUUGUUGGUGGGGUAAUGGCUCACCAAGGCUAUGACGCCUAACUGGUUUGAGAGGAUGAUCAGUCACACUGGAACUGAGACACGGUCCAGACUCCUACGGGAGGCAGCAGUGGGGAAUAUUGCACAAUGGACGAAAGUCUGAUGCAGCAACGCCGCGUGGAGGAUGACACAUUUCGGUGCGUAAACUCCUUUUAUAUAGGAAGAUAAUGACGGUACUAUAUGAAUAAGCACCGGCUAACUCCGUGCCAGCAGCCGCGGUAAUACGGAGGGUGCAAGCGUUACUCGGAAUCACUGGGCGUAAAGAGCGUGUAGGCGGGUAUAUAAGUCAGAAGUGAAAUCCAAUAGCUCAACUAUUGAACUGCUUUUGAAACUGUAUACCUAGAAUGUGGGAGAGGUAGAUGGAAUUUCUGGUGUAGGGGUAAAAUCCGUAGAGAUCAGAAGGAAUACCGAUUGCGAAGGCGAUCUACUGGAACAUUAUUGACGCUGAGACGCGAAAGCGUGGGGAGCAAACAGGAUUAGAUACCCUGGUAGUCCACGCCCUAAACGAUGUACACUAGUUGUUGUGAGGCUCGACCUUGCAGUAAUGCAGUUAACACAUUAAGUGUACCGCCUGGGGAGUACGGUCGCAAGAUUAAAACUCAAAGGAAUA
rnacentral:rRNA from 1 species